AUAGCGUAUAUUAAAGUUGUUGCAGUUAAAAAGCUCGUAGUUGAACCUUGGGCCUGGUUGGCCGGUCCGCCUCACCGCGUGCACUGGUCCGACCGGGCCUUUCCUCCUGGGGAACCGCAUGCCCUUCACUGGGUGUGUCGGGGAAUCAGGACUUUUACUUUGAAAAAAUUAGAGUGUUCAAAGCAGGCCUAUGCUCGAAUACAUUAGCAUGGAAUAAUAGAAUAGGACGUGUGGUUCUAUUUUGUUGGUUUCUAGAACCGCCGUAAUGAUUAAUAGGGAUAGUCGGGGGCAUCAGUAUUCCAUUGUCAGAGGUGAAAUUCUUGGAUUUAUGGAAGACUAACUACUG
rnacentral:rRNA from 1 species